rnacentral:misc_RNA from 1 species
GAUGAAGAACGUAGUGAAAUGCGAUACGUAAUGUGAAUUGCAGAAUUCAGUGAAUCAUCGAAUCUUUGAACGCACAUUGCGCCUGCCAGCACUCUGGCAGGCAUGCCUGUUCGAGCGUCAUUUCAACCAUCAAGCCCUAGGCUUGCGUUGGAGCCCUGCGGCUGCCGCAGCCUCCCAAAACCAGUGGCGGGCUCGCUAUCACACCGAGUGCAGUAGUUUACUCUUCGCUCAGGGCGUGUGGCGGGUGCUAGCCGUGAAACCCCCAACUUCUCAAGGUUGACCUCGGAUCAGGUAGGAAUACCCGCUGAACUUAAGCAUAUCAAUAAGCGGAGGA